AUUGAACGCUGGCGGCAUGCCUAACACAUGCAAGUCGAACGGCAGCACGGUACGUAGUAAUACGUAAUGGGUGGCGAGUGGCGGACGGGUGAGUAGGGCAUAGGAAUCUGCCGAUGAGAGUGGGAUAACUGAGGGAAACUUCAGCUAAUACCGCAUAAAGUCUACGGACCAAAGGGAGGGGAUCUCUGCAAGGGGACCUUUCGCUGAUUGAGGAGCCUAUGUCGGAUUAGCUAGUUGGUGGGGUAAAGGCCUACCAAGGCGAUGAUCCGUAGCUGGUCUGAGAGGAUGGCCAGCCACACUGGGACUGAGACACGGCCCAGACUCCUACGGGAGGCAGCAGUGGGGAAUAUUGGACAAUGGGGGCAACCCUGAUCCAGCAAUGCCGCGUGAGUGAAGAAGGCCUUCGGGUUGUAAAGCUCUUUAGUGGGGGAGGAAGCGCACGCAUGAAUAGUGGGUGUGGUUGACGGUACCCCAUGAAUAAGCACCGGCUAACUCUGUGCCAGCCGCCGCAGUAA
rnacentral:rRNA from 1 species